rnacentral:rRNA from 1 species
ACUCCUACGGGAGGCAGCAGUGGGGAAUAUUGCACAAUGGGCGCAAGCCUGAUGCAGCCAUGCCGCGUGUGUGAAGAAGGCCUUCGGGUUGUAAAGCACUUUUCAGUAGGGAGGAAGGUAGUGUAGUUUAACACCUGCAUUAUUUUGACGUUUACCUACAGAAGAAGACCGGCUAACUCCGUGCCAGCAGCCNCGGUAAUACGGAGGGUGCGAGCGUUAAUCGGAAUUACUGGGCGUAAAGCGCAUGCAGGC